GGGAUUGCCUCAGUAACGGCGAGUGAAGCGGCAACAGCUCAAAUUUGAAAUCUGGCCCCUUCGGGGUCCGAGUUGUAAUUUGUAGAGAGUGCUUCGGGGGAGACCGCGGUCUAAGUCCAUUGGAACAUGGCGUCCCAGAGGGUGAGAAUCCCGUAUGUGACCGUGGCUCGAACCCAUGUGAAGCCUCUUCGACGAGUCGAGUUGUUUGGGAAUGCAGCUCAAAAUGGGUGGUAAAUUUCAUCUAAAGCUAAAUACGGGCUGGAGACCGAUAGCGCACAAGUAGAGUGAUCGAAAGAUGAAAAGCACUUUGGAAAGAGAGUUAAAAAGUACGUGAAAUUGUUGAAAGGGAAGCGCUGGCAACCAGACCUGCCCGUAGGCGAUCAGCCGCUGUUCUCAGCGGUGCACUCGCUCUGCGAUCAGGCCAGCAUCGGUUCCGGCGGUCGGACAAAGGCCUUGGGAACGUACCUUCCCUUCGGGGGAGUCUUAUAGCCCUCGGUGCAAUGCGGCCAGCCGGGACCGAGGACCGCGCUUCGGCUAGGAUGCUGGCGUAAUGGUUGUCAGCGACCCGUCUUGAAACACGGACCAAGGAGUCUAACAUCUAUGCGAGUGUUUGGGUGUUAAACCCAUGCGCGGAAUGAAAGUGAACGGAGGUGAGAACCCUGAAGGGCGCAUCAUCGACCGAUCCAGAUGUCUUCGGAUGGAUUUGAGUAUGAGCAUAGCUGUUGGGACCCGAAAGAUGGUGAACUAUGCCUGAAUAGGGUGAAGCCAGAGGAAACUCUGGUGGAGGCUCGCAGCGGUUCUGACGUGCAAAUCGAUCGUCAAA
rnacentral:rRNA from 1 species